GGUUCGCAACCUCUUCAUUUCUCUCAAUCACCAGCCUAGCUCGAGUCAUGUCCAAAAGCCUAAAAAGACAUGAGCCAUGUGACUUGCCUAACACUGCGCCCCAGUGCCACAAUCCGAGGUCCCAGCCACACAAGCUGCCCUUGGUUCUAGCCAAGUCGAGCAGCUUAAAGCAGUGGUCCCUGCCACAAUACCUCAUCGGCCCAUGCCGAGUCGACUCCUGGCCCAUGCCAGCCGACGUGCCGCACCACCCCGACGGCUGCCCCGCGGUAGCACUAUCCACGAAGAAGACGAAGAAAUCAACGAAAGACGGUCCUUUGCACGGGCAAGAUGUAGAAGAUUGCUAGAGGAGGGGGAACAAAUAUCCUCUAAGCUAUCUCUCUCUUGUAGGGUAGAAUAAAUCGCUCUCCAAAGUUGAUUUAAUAACCCACUUAAGGUGGAUUUAAAUAGGCUUUGAGAGAAAUUUAUUUCCCUUUCCUAGAAGGAUCUAAUUUCCUAUUAAAGAGAGAAUCUACAUCAAAAUAGGAAGCAGUCCUAAGUUUCCUAAAGCAAGAAGAUCUCUACACCUGCUGCCCUUUUCUGCGAGCAGCCCAACAGGUGUGGGGGCAUUUGUGGAGCCAAAAAUAUUCACAGGGCGACACGUGGGUUUUUUGGACAAAAAUGACAAAAAUACCCUUGCAGUACAACGAGGUUCCUACGCGCAAGCAGCGGGCAACCCUCUUUCAACCAAGACAGAAGUGCCCAAAAUAGGUAACAAUUCAAAGUCCAUCUCAUCAAAUCCUUUCUACAAGGUAAUUCCCAAACACAUUCCUUUUAAAUUAUGUUAAUUGGCUAAUUAAUGGGUUUAUUGCCUAAUUAACCCGUUAAUUGUCAAUUAAACCAUCCAUUAUAUCCAAAUAACUACAAAAUACAUCCAAUUCAACCCUAAAACACCACAUGGCCGGCUAUCCCCAUUUCAAAACCUAAUCCAUCACUUUUUUCUACCUUUUUCACCAUUUCUUCCUUUUUAUUACCCAAUAAAUUCAAAAACCACCAAAACAUUCAUCUUAUGUUUAAUAGCCAAAUAAAUUGGCUAAUUAAACCUAAAUUAAACCUAAAAACCCUAGCCACCUCCUAUCCCUAUAAAUAUACUCUCAUUCUCACCAAAAAGCUAAUUCCAACACUUUGGCAAAAAUCCCAAAAUUCUCUAAACACUAUUUCUCUCUAAAUUCUAACUUUGGCAUCGGAGGUUCUUCGGCCAAAGCCCCCCCAUUCAUCGUGGGCACGUGAGGCUCUUGGCCUUAACCUAAGGUGUUAAUUGUUUUGUAGGUGCAAAAUUGUCCAAGAUCAAGGAGGAAGAAAUUUGCAUCCACAGUUGACAUGAGUGAUGCUCAUGAAUGUUUAUAUAUGAUUGACAUGAGUGAUGCUCAUAAAUGUUUAUGUAUGAUUGACAUGAGUGAUGCUCAUGUAUAAUUUUGGAGUACUGGACAUACUUUUGAUCACCUAGUUGGUGAUAAUAGCGGCAGGCUGCCGAAUAAUUUUGGAGUACUGGACGUACUUUUGAUCACCUGGUUGGUGAUAAUAGAAGGUGAACCUUAAGUGGAGGGAUGUAAAUUGGACUUUGAAGCCAUAUGGCCUAGCUCUUUUGGGCAUAUGGGCCUUCACCCUCUAAAUAAUAUUCUCGCCCACUAUUUUGAGCCUGCCGACAUUUUGCCUUUUUUUUUUGGCAUGCUGCCUUCUAUCUUUAUUUAUGAUUACACAUCAAUAUAACUAUACAAUAAUUGCUCCAGUUUGCAGAAGACAACUAAAUAAAAUAUUCAUCAAUGAUAGUGGGUAUAGGUGUGCCAUGUUUUCCACUUCCUCAUCGGCUUUUCUCCAUCUCCAGACAUAUUUUCCUUUUUCAUUAUUUUCCUCCCUUUUUCUACUUUUGCUUUCUGUUUUGCUUUAUUUUUAUUUAUUUUUUUACCACAAUUCCAACAAAUGGAGAUGUUGUUUGUCCUUGAAAGGUGUACCAACAUUUGAUUCUGACACCACAUGCCUCAAAUUCUUUAUGACUAAGCCUCCCCUUAAUUCUUUAAGGCUCCCCAGCUCACCAAGACCAGCACUACCGCCCCUCCACAAACAAUUGCUUUCUGCUUUUCUUUUUCUGUUGCAUGGUCCACGAGUCCACCCCCAAGGCUCCAUAAUAUUCUCCCACACUACAAUUUGUGCUUUCUUUAAUAGCCUUAAAUUGUUGGUGGACAAGAUGAGCAGUUGAUGCUAAGAAAUUAAUUAAUUAUUUGGAAAGUGAAGACGUUUGGUGCCGACAAAAUGAAGGGGCAUCUUCUGGUGCGCUUGCCUUUAUUGCACCUGAUGGAGGUGGAGACGUUGGGCAUAACGGGACUACCAGGGACGACGAGACGUGAACGGCUUGUACUUCUGCGAUUGAUCAAACCUCCUCACCGAGGACCAGACGAGACGCACAGGGGCUUUGAUGUGCCUGACCAGAGCCGAAUUGCACUGGUUAUCUCUCUAGGUUUGUGCCUGUGGUCGUGCUCUCUCUGGCAUUCUCGAUCUCGGUCCCGCUCACGUUCCCUGUCGUGGUGGUGCCAUUGCUCAGGAUAAGACUAACCCAACCAAUUAAACCAAUUAAAAGAGAAGCGAUGGCCUCAUAAAUAUAGUAGAAUUUGUGGCGGCGAAGGACAUGGCCAAGGACGAAAGAGAGGACAAGCAUCAUGAUCUGGAGAAAAAUGUCAACCCCAGCGGCCUGCUGCUCCUUCCCUGGAGUGGUCCAAUUGGCAUCCGCCGGAGAUAUCUGGAUCGCCGUUAGUUGGUGUUCAUCUUUCAUCGCCAUUAACUGUCCUGCUGCUGCUCAACUUUUUCCAAUGGCCCACUUCUCAUCCAUCCUAAAAUCUUCACCGUUCGUCCCAUCCGGGCCCUCCUUCAGCGGCGACAGCACCUCCGGUAGCCUCAAGCUCCCGGAUCUCGGAACCAUCAGCGGCUCCGGCUGCGCCACGUGGUGGUUCCUCAUCCGCCUCAAUAAACCCAACAUUAGGGACUGGCUUCGUGCCAGACUCUUCGCCCCCGACCUCCCCGACGACAAACCCCUCGUCACCUCCUCUUUCAAAGUAUGCUUUCUCUCCAUUUUACAAGUCUGCCUCUCACCCAAAACUCUGCAGAAGAUGUAGAAAGAUAAGAGCUUUAGUUUAUGGGUUUUGCAGGGAAAAGUGAGAUAGUGAGAAGAAAGACGGAAACUUUGGCGAAAGAAACUUCUAGGUUUGAUUUUGUCGGUGUGUUUAGUGAGGAUGAAGUGGUGGUGGUUUAGAGAGAAGGCUGGACAUAGCCAUCUUUUCGGAGGAAAUGAAAUGAAAGGUUUUCUGAAAAAGUCCAAAGAGGGAGGUUUUGGGUUCUUGGGUUGUGCAGAUUCAUGGUGGUGAGAUGAAAACAAAUGAAAGAGAACCAACAGAACUUUUCGUGUCGAUUCCCACAGACGGCGCCAAAUGUUGAUGCAUAAAACUGGGAGGUCUUGGAAUAACGUAAAUCCGACCGUGAAUCUGCAAGAAAGUAAAGAACACAAAGAUGUAUCAUGGUUCACCCCAAUGUUUGGGCUACGUCCACACUGAUGUUGAUUGUAUUUCUCUAUAACUGUACGUAUGAAUUACAAGUGUGAGGGGGAGUCCCCCAGAGAAAAAGAGAGUGUGAGAAAGCUUUGCUCUGAAUAUGAGAGCCUCUGUUUGGGGAUGUGAGGCUUCUUCUGAUUGUGAGGGUGAGGAGUCCCUUUUAUAGACUAAGGGUUCCUCCCUUUUUACAUAGAUCAUGAGCUCAAUGUCUAGAAGCACAAGUAACGAGGCUCAAUAUAAUAUGGUACUAACACGAACCAACUCAAUUUUUUAUGAUUGCAACUUUCAAAAUAGGUAUGAUAUUAUAGAUUUACCAAACACAUUUUAUUGCUUAACUUUAAAAUGAAGCGAUUUUUGGUGAGAAAACAAAAAACAAACAGAUAGGAACUUAAGAAUUAGGUUUCUUAAGUUCAUGAACAACAACCUCUCACAAUUAAAAGUCAGACCCGUAUAUUGUUUAAAGGAGAACAUGACUGCUGUUUAUUAAAGUAAGAAAUUUUAUACCGUUUGAAGAUGAGUGUGACUAAAGAUUUUAUACUAUGCUUCAAGAUUCUAUAGAUUUGAUUUUUUGGCAUAUAUGUGCCAAAGAUUUAAUAGCUAAAAAUCUGGCUAAAUUUAGACACCGAAGCAUAUUAAAAUGGCUAAAUAGCCAAAAAUGGUCCUUAAGAUUUGCAUAACUCAUCACUUUGGUCCCUAACAUUUCAAAUCAAUAAAAGUGAUCCCUGAGAUUGUCCACCAUUCAUCAUUUUGGUCAUUCCAUUAAAAACUCCAUUAAGUGUCCCAUAGCUCUUGGUCGGAAGUUUAGGCAAUUUUCAAAACUUCGUAAUUCAAUCGUUUCUUAACCAAAUUCGACCCACAGUAUAUCAAAAUAAAGAUAGGAAAGUGUAGAAUAAGAUUGUACCUAUUUGGAAGCCUAAUGGCUGCUGGAGAUGGCCGGAAAAUAACCUCAAAGUUGACUGGUCCGAGGGAAAACUUGAAAACUCACAAGAAACUAGGUAAACUUUAAACGUUCAUAACUUCUUCAAUACUCAACGAAAUCAAGUGAUUCAAAAAUGAAAAUCAUAUUUGUCGACGAGAUGAAGAGAAUGGCUUAAAAGUGGCUAACUCAAUACCAAGACAACUACUUUUGAGCCGUUUUCCUACCAAACCACGGUGAGUUAGCCAUCGAAAAAGGUACCAUUUUCUUCAUCUCAUCGAGAAGUAUGAUUUUCGUUUUUGAAUCACUUGAUUUCGUUGAGUAUUGAAGAAGUUAUGAAUGUUUAAAGUUUACCCAGUUUCCGGUGAGUUUUCAAGUUUUCCAUCGGAAUAGUCAACUUUGAGGCUAUUUUUCAGCCAUCGCCGGCAGCCAUUGGGCUUCCAAAUAGGUAUAAUCUUAUUCUACAUUUUCCUAUCUUCAUUUUGAUAUAUUAUGGAUCAAAUUUGGUUAAGAAACAAUUGAGUUACGAAGCUUUGAAAAUUGCCAAAACUUCCGGCUAAGAGUUUCGGGACACUUAACAGAGUUUUUAACAGAAUGACCAAAAUGAUGGAUGAUGGAUAAUCUCAGGGACCACUUUUAUUGAUUUGAAAUGUUAAAGACUAAAGUGAUGAGUUAUGCAAAUCUCAAGAACCAUUUUAACUAUUUGGCCUAUUAAAAUUUUUGGCAUGACAGUUGCUCGUGCGAAAAGGUCUUAGAGUAAAUUUCAAACAGUUGUAAUUAGGCAAUCUAGAAGGGGUUAAAAACCUAGGGUUUUCUUUACCACCACCGCCAAUCUGGAUUCCGACGUGGAGUGGGACCCCUCCUACGUGUAAAAGUGAACGGCGAUGGUUGGAGCACCGAGAGCCAAUGAGCCCAAUAAGAAGCAACCGACUAAACCACAGCCGCGCGGACUGGAGCGCGGAAUCUCAAUCAAACAUGACCACGAGUCUACGAUCGUAACGUCAAAACAAUCCCAGCCGUCCAUUGGCCCCACAUCCCACGGCUCCAAAACUCUAGGGUUAUAGAACAUUCUGGAAUUCCAACCCCCCAAACUCUAUAUAAACCUCCUCGAUACUCCUCUUCCUUUCAUUCACUCUGCAAACCCUAGCAGCCACAGUUGUUUUUCGCCUUCUUAUUAUUUCAUUCACCGUCGGCAAAACCCUAGAUUGAUACAAUGGCCGGUAAGGGAGAAGGUCCGGCCAUCGGAAUUGAUCUUGGCACUACAUACUCAUGCGUCGGUGUUUGGCAACACGACCGUGUAGAGAUCAUCGCCAACGACCAGGGUAACAGAACCACCCCGUCGUACGUUGCUUUCACUGAUACCGAGCGGUUGAUCGGAGAUGCCGCUAAGAAUCAGGUCGCCAUGAACCCCAUUAACACCGUCUUCGGUAAGAUCUGAGCUCCUUGUUCUCUCUCUUUCAGUAGAAUAUGGAUCUGUAUUGUUUCUUUUGCUAGUUUCUGGAUCUGUAUUUUUGUUUAAAUUAGCUUAUAGAUCUGUAUUCUCUUAGUAGUAUGCGUUUAGAUCUGUUAAUGCUAUUUGAUUCCUUUUUGUUCAUUGACUUUGUGAAUAUGCAUCGAUUUGAUUUGUGGUAGUGAGAUUUAUGGUUGCUGAUUUAGAUUGGAUCUGUAGUUAACAAUUUGGAUCAGUGAUUUGAAAGUUUUCAAAUUUGCUUAGUAGAUCUAGUAAAACAGGAUCUUAGUUCUGUCACUAUUUAUUUGAAAAUUAUUUGAACCUUUUAAUUAAGGUACAUAUCAAUUGAAAUGAUAGAACCCAACUGAAUAUUUAUUUGAAUUUUUUAAUUAAGGUACAUAUCAAUUGAAAUGAUAUAACUCAACUGAUUCUUUAUUAACAUAGAUAUUAUCUGGAAAGCUAAAUGUUUUGUACAAUGAUUGAUCUGUUAAAAACAUGGAUUACUAUUGUAUAAGAUUACUUGGAUGUGUUAUAAAUAUGGAUUAGUAUUGUAUAAGAUUACCUCUGUUAAAAAUAUGGAUUAGUAUUGUAUAAGAUUACCUCUGUUAAGAACAUGGAUUAGUUGUAUAGAUUAAUUUUUUAAAUAAUUGUUUUGAUAGUAUGCUUACAGUGAUUUGUUUUAAACUAAAGAUGUGUAUGUUGAUAAUCUUUGAUUUGUUAAAUUUGCAGAUGCUAAGAGGUUGAUUGGUCGUAGAAUUUCUGAUGCCUCUGUCCAGAGCGACAUGAAGUUGUGGCCAUUCAAGGUUACCUCCGGCCCUGGUGACAAGCCCAUGAUCGGAGUCUCCUACAAGGGAGAAGACAAGCUCUUUGCCGCUGAGGAAAUCUCGUCUAUGGUCCUCAUCAAGAUGCGUGAGAUCGCCGAGGCCUACCUUGGCAGCACCAUCAAGAACGCUGUUGUCACAGUCCCUGCCUACUUUAAUGAUUCCCAGCGUCAGGCCACCAAGGAUGCCGGAGUUAUUGCCGGAAUCAAUGUCCUCCGUAUCAUCAAUGAGCCCACCGCUGCUGCCAUUGCUUAUGGUCUUGACAAGAAGGCCACCAGCGUUGGUGAGAAGAAUGUCUUGAUCUUCGAUCUUGGAGGUGGUACUUUUGAUGUGUCUCUUCUCACCAUUGAGGAGGGUAUUUUCGAGGUCAAGGCCACAGCCGGUGACACCCAUUUGGGAGGAGAAGAUUUUGACAACAGAAUGGUGAACCAUUUCGUUCAGGAGUUCAAGAGGAAGAAUAAGAAGGAUAUCAGCGGCAACCCCAGAGCCCUCAGGAGGUUGAGGACAUCUUGCGAAAGGGCGAAGAGAACCCUCUCUUCCACCGCUCAGACCACCAUUGAAAUUGACUCCCUUUACGAGGGUAUCGAUUUCUACUCCACCAUCACCCGUGCCAGAUUUGAGGAGUUGAACAUGGAUCUUUUCAGGAAGUGUAUGGAGCCAGUUGAGAAAUGUUUGAGGGAUGCCAAGAUGGACAAGAGCACCGUCCACGAUGUCGUUCUUGUUGGAGGAUCCACCCGUAUUCCUAAAGUACAGCAGCUUCUUCAGGACUUCUUCAACGGCAAGGAGCUCUGCAAGAGCAUCAACCCUGAUGAGGCUGUCGCCUAUGGUGCUGCCGUCCAGGCUGCCAUUCUCAGCGGAGAGGGCAACGAGAAGGUCCAGGACCUUCUUCUGUUGGAUGUUACCCCUCUUUCCCUCGGAUUGGAAACCGCCGGAGGUGUCAUGACUGUGUUGAUCCCCAGAAACACCACCAUCCCCACCAAGAAGGAACAGGUCUUCUCAACCUACUCCGACAACCAGCCCGGAGUCUUGAUUCAGGUGUAUGAAGGAGAAAGAACCAGAACCAGGGACAACAACUUGCUCGGAAAGUUUGAGCUCUCCGGAAUCCCACCUGCACCCAGAGGAGUACCCCAGAUCACUGUCUGCUUCGACAUUGACGCUAACGGUAUCUUGAAUGUCUCCGCCGAGGACAAGACCACCGGACAAAAGAACAAGAUCACAAUCACCAACGACAAGGGCAGGUUGUCCAAGGAGGAGAUUGAGAAGAUGGUUCAGGAGGCCGAGAAGUACAAGUCGGAGGACGAAGAGCACAAGAAGAAGGUUGAGAGCAAGAACGCCUUGGAGAACUAUGCCUACAACAUGAGGAACACCAUCAAGGACGAGAAGAUUGGGGCCAAGCUGCCGCCGGCCGACAAGAAGAAGAUCGAAGACUCGAUCGAGACUGCCAUCCAAUGGUUGGACAGCAACCAGCUGGCGGAGGCCGAUGAGUUUGAAGACAAGAUGAAGGAGUUGGAGAGCAUCUGCAACCCAAUCAUCGCCAAGAUGUACCAGGGAGCUGGGGGCGAAGGUGCCGGCCCAGUUGAUGAUGAUGAUGCUCCACCUAGUGCCAGCGGCCCAGGCCCCAAGAUCGAGGAGGUCGACUAAGUUUUUUGCUGCCAGGGGUUAUGUCGUUUUUUGGGAAUUAUUAUUUAGGUGUCUGUGGAACUUAAUAUUUUUAUGUUUUAUUUGGCCUUGAAGUUAUAUAUCAAUGCCUAUUUUUCUAUUUUGCGGAACCUUUUAUGUUGUGCCGCCGGUAAAUUUCUGCCAGGCGUUUAUUUUUAUUUUUUUUGAACUUUUUAAUUUGUACUUUUUUAGCCAGUUUUAAAGGAAUAUUCUUUUGGCUAUAUCAUGUUUUUCUUUCUUUUGUUAGAAUCUUUAUUAUACAAAAAUAAUUUAUCAAAUUUCUCUUAAAUUGGAAAAUUAAGCUUUUGAAAUGGAACAGAUUGGAUCAUCUCAUAAUUUCUCGAAGUACACAAAUGAAUCACACCAAUUAGACAAAUAAACUUGAUUUCUCACAACCCAACAAAUGAAACACAUAAAUCCAACUUUCCUAUCAUUUCGAGGAACCAAACAAAACAGUAAGAGAGACUCAUUACCUUGAUCGUUCUUGGCAGUAAAGAAAAUGGUCCAGUCUCGUCCCCAAUCAAGCACUCAGAGAUUCUAGGCCUAAAGCUAUUCGCCGGAACCUUCACCCUACUGGCCGGAAUCACUUAGUUGUUCGUUGUUGGUGAGGCGAAAGGCCUGUUUGUGGUCUGCGCGGCUCAUGUCACUUAGACCUCCAUCACAAUAUGAAUUUGUGAAAAAAAAAAAUUAAAAAAUCUGACUUGUUUUCAAAUUACAAUGGGUUAUUCUUAAAUUUUUUUAAGUCCAGUUUUGCAAAAUGGGCUUACCAUACAGGUUGUUUUUUACCUUAAAAAUUGUUUUUGAGUUAAAAACUUUAUACUCAAAUCCAAUACCAAACAGACCCUAAGUUUUUGAAAUGGAACUGAUUUCACCUCACAUUUUUUCUUGACACUUAUUUUGACAAAAAAGACGGUGUGGCUUUAGGAACAAAUUUCAAGUUUGUAAGAAAUACGGUACGUUUUGAGUUUGCUUAUUGACGCUGAUAAAUUGAUUCCUGGUGCUGAUAAAUUUUGUGAUGGUGGACAGAAAGAAGUUGAAAUGUCUCUAUAAGUCUUUCUGAUACUCGGAGGUUACGUGGUAAAGUAACCGGUUGAUUUCCUUUUUUUUAAUUUUAAAUAUUGAGUAUUGACACGUAUUUUGACCGUUAUAUUGACUAUAAUGACGAACGAAAAGAUGAUGAUCACGCAAUUCCUUGACCCUCUUUAACCAUCCAUUUGCAAUCCAACGGCACGGCAUAUCCGUGCGUGAAGCAAAGUGUGGAUACUGACAGAAGGCGGGAAGACAUAGAACCUGACAUCAAAAUUGACAUGAAAUUAUUUGAAGCAAUAACAGCCAACAAGGUGUCGCUUCAAAGAGGCCAGACGCCACCAUUGACCCCUUCUCUGCCUGCCUUUGCCCUUUUAGCCUUACUUGCCUCCGCCAACUCCCCUGACGGACAAAGGUUGUCAAAUGCAACCCUAUCAAGUCAUAUAAAUCAAGUUGUGGAUAAAUCCUUCACCUACUAAUUCCAAAUUCAAAAAGAAAAAGAUUUACGAAUUUACAUUGUGACAAGCAACAAUUACUUAGAUCUUGAUUAAUUUGGCGAUACACAUUUUAUACAAGAAAAAUCACAACUUGUGAUAUUUAAUUUUCUAUUUGUAAAAGAAAACUCGGAACUUGAGAUAUUUAAUUUGGUGAUAUACAUUUUAUAAAAGAAAAGUCGGAUCCUUGAAGAGUUAGCUGAUAUUUGUACAAAGUUAGUCUCUAAUCGAGUUUUUCAUGACUUAAUGUAGCAAACCCUUAAAAAUGGUGUCCUUGAAUUAUUUAGUUUUCCAUUUCAUUGUACCAGAAUAAAAAAGAGAAGUGGUCAAAGAUCAUCUAAACCCAACAUUCCGUUAUACGCCAAAUAAAGUCACGCGAUUAAAUUUUUAACUUUAAGUAUUCUCUAACAUUGAAGAAACAAAAAUGCAACACUAGAUUGUGAGCUGGUUGACAAGUUUCGUUCUUUAAUACUAUCAUCAUUUAAGUGAUUAGCAACAUUUGUUACCUACUUAUCUGACAGCUACUUUUUUUGUUCAUAGUUAAUCACUGUUGACCCCAUUUCUGUAACAAUAACAUCACCAUGAACCGAAAAGAACACAAAUCACUUGUGCUUUUGGCGAAUAAAGUGGAAUUCCCACAACCCACAGCUUUUAGGAAUAUCCAAUGAUUCAAAUACAAAACCCUAAUGUCACGUCGCCUUCCCAAAAAAUAUCGGAGGCAGAUUAUCUGUCCUCCCACUUCCCAUGUCCACCUGUGCCCUUCUAUUUGUGUGAUCACGGUUAAGACAUAUUAACAUUUUAUAUUACUAUUAUUUUUUGUCUUAUUAUUUUUAUAAAAAAAUUAAUAUAAAAUGCUGACGUGGUUUAACCGUGACCAUACAAAACAGAAAGGCACGGGAGGGUACGAAAAGUAGGAGGGGAGAGAAUCUGCCUCCAAAAAUAUCUCCUCUUUGAAAUUCCCUCAAUUGCCCUGCGGCUGCCACAAUUUUUAUUCUUAUCAGAAAGCUAAGCCAUUGGUGUGAAGGAGUUAAAAAACUCUAACAAGACCUUCCGUAUCGAGUGCCGACUUCAUUAUAAGCGGUUUGUAACUUAAGUCGUUGUCCGGCUUUAUAAGAAACGAUUUGUAGCUCAAGUAAUUAAGAGUGUAUAUUAAAGCAAGCAAGGUCUUGUAUUUCCUUCUUUUCCCCAACAAAAAGCCCCUCUUCUAAUAAGUGGGUGGUGACAGCAAUGCAAAAAUGAUAAGAUAUCAUCCGAAGGAAGAAGAAUGCAACGAUAUGUAACUAUGACACGUGUCCGGCUUCAAAGGAUAUUUUAGUCUUGAUGAAACAAACAAACAAGGAAAAUGUAUGAACAAAUUGAUCUCUGCGCUGGGAUUCAAGUUCAACCCUAAAUGAAAUAUUACAGAAAAUAUUCGUAAAUCAUAGCCUAAUUAUUGAGAGUGAUCAAAUCAAAUAUCGAAAAUUAUACUGAUAACUGAUCAUUUACGCAAAGUGAGAUUUGAAAUAAAUUGAUCAUUUCAGUCAAUUUUUCAAAAGACACUGAAAUAUGUGAUCAUGGAUUCAUUGGCAUCAUGCCCCUUCAACCUUCAAUACAGAACAGUUCAUACAACCACACACUCAGUUUUCUAAGCCAUUGACACAAGCUAUGAAAGUGAGAAAGUCAUGUUCAAUGUAUCGACAGGGCAGAUUAGUCUACAGUUUAACGACUCGAACCGAAUAAAAAUCAAGAAUUUUUUUGACAAAUCUAUAUAAAUCAAGAAAAUAGUGAGAGUCAAUUCAUAACCAGAUGCAUAACUUAGUAGCAAAAACUGAAAAGCCAAACGUGAGCAGCACGUUUUUGUUUCCUUCAUGCAAUACGCUUUCAUGGUACAACAGUUAGUAGAACAAUGCCCCAACCAUGACAAUAAACCCUUACAGACCUCUAUAAAUUGCCUAAUUUUAAGUCAACAUGAGAUCAUUGCCUCCAAGGUGAGGGCGUAGGCAAACACGAACCUCAUGUUCUUCUGGCCCAGCGCGGAGUUUUGGAACCAUAAUCUCAAGCACAGAGCCUGGCCCGUCGUAAUAAGCUUCUAUGUUAGCGUCUUCAGGAAUGCGGGUGGCAAGCGGGAUUUCCCUGACAAACUCUCCUGGGGAACAAUGCUCAGAGGCUGGAUCCGUAAGAAUGAAAGUCCGAUCAUGUCUCUUGAUGUAUGGCAAGCGAGAUGUGCUUAUACAAGAUACCUUAAUGAUGCCUUGAGUAAAAGUAUUCCUCCAAGAAACUUUCACCCUUUGAAGAUCCACAAAGGGUAAGCUGAUGAUGAUUAAAUAACCUGCAUCAUCCUCAUAGAUUGUUUUUGCAGCUGUAACAGGCCCGUAGACGUUCUUCAUUACACCACUAAAUUGAUUUGGCCAUUGCACCUCAUUUGGGUGGGUUUCCGUAUCUGGGAUUCGAUCGGACGGAGGAUUAACAGCCAGGUAGCAAUCGUCAUCAUUCCCGUGGGGGAAAAACUCCUUCCUCCUCUUGCUGACAGGAGAAAGGUCCAUUCCAUCAGAAUUGUUGUUGAUAGAUGGCUGGGUAGACAAAUUGAGCCCAGACCCAUUCAGAAGUUUCUUUGAGUGAGAAUUGGGCGCGCUCUUUAUUGGAGCAGGUGGCCUCUCAAGCUCGAAAUCUGUAUUCGGAAGGUUUCUCCAAGAACUAAAAUCCCCUGCUUCCAUAGGAAUUGUGAAGUUCACAUCCCUCCCAGUCAGUUCCAUCCACCUUUUACGGUCUUCUUCAUCAAGACCGAUGAGAUUAGGUGACCGAACAAGCUCAAUCCCAUGCACACAUUGGGGGUUUGAAAGACCCCUAUAAUGCUUCCGCUGCAUCCUGUGAGAUCGAGCAAAACCCUUGUCGACACUAAAUGGAAACAGACGCUCCCCUUGGCGGGAAUGCCCAUUCAUGUAGCUCCUUAGCUGCAUCUUCCCCAAAGCAUUCUCAGGCCUCUCCUUGAAAACCCACAUGUACAUGUUCUCCAUGUCAUGCUGAACCAUGAAAACAUCAAGCUUGAGAUCAGAUUUCUCAUACCCAGAAACACCAUUACUGUCCCGGACGAUUUUGGCCUUUGACUUCUCAUUCAAUGCGGGCUUGAAGUAAAAACUGAAGAAGAACCAAGCGCCCCAUAUGCUGUCUACUCGCUUGGCGCAUUUCCGUCCAACCUUGGGCAUUGUAAGCAAACUCUCAGUCUCAUACACCUGUGGGCCAAGGCCAACAUCUAGAAUAUCACAAGCGUCUGAAUUCCACGAAGGUGGAGGUGGGCUGCGCUCGGCUGACAGGGGCAAAUUUAUAUCAGGGGGGCCGGAAAGUAUGAUCUGUCGAUUCAUCUCCAAAUCCAAUUCGUCGUGAGAGGAAGCGCUGGAAUCCAUGGACAAGAGCGUGGACGGGUGGUGAUUCUCCAUUGACAGGGCCGUGAGCAUCGAAUCUGCCGUUUCAGCUGAACAGCUCCUCGGUGGGGAUUGUUGCUGGUGGAUUGAAUAUUGCCAUUUUUCCAAAAACAAUUCAAAGAGAGAACAACAUCAUAUCAAUCAAUCCCCACUGUAUCUUCCCUCCAUCAAAACCCUAGAUUUAUCAAACCAGAUGAGAAUUUCCUCACAAACCCACAUCAAAUAUUCAACAAUAUAAAACAAGAUUCAAUACCCCCAAUAAACAAAUUAUAAAUAGAAAUAGAAUUCCAGAAGAACUGAUGGUAUAUAAUUUAAAUUCAAUCACAAAGGGAGAGAGAUAAAAACGCUAUAGAAAAAAUGUAUCUAACCCUAGCCCAAGAAUCUCCUGAAUUCCACCAAACCCAGGUGGAAGACACUGAAUCAUACCCAUCAAAUCCAUGAUUUUUUUUGUUUUUUUUUUUUUAAAGCACAAAUUUUACAAAAACAAAGGGGCUAAAAAUCCAGAGGACCCAGAAGACCCAGAAGCAGAAAAACGAAGCAGGGAUCCUGAAAGAGAUUACCUUUUGGGAUAAGCAUCGGGGAAGCGGAAGCAAGAGGAACCUCCAGAGGCGACCAUGAUGCUCAUCUCCAGCAUAUCAUCAACUACCAUGUUUGCUCUUCCCUUUUCCACUUUUAAUUAUUUUUAAUUUAUCUGUAAUUUUUAACUGUUAAUUUAAUUUAAUUUAAUUUUUGGAUUAGUUUGCCGUCCGAAAAUACAGACACAAUUGGGGGAGGGUGAAAGAAAGAGGGCUAAAGUUGGAUUUAGGGUUUGUUGGUUGGGGGGGAGUGAAGGGGAAUGGGAUUGGGAGUAGGAAGGGAAACCGGAGACGUGCGGGAGCAUCUACUUAUAGAUUAAGAGGUGGUGGGUUAACGCCCCCAUUUGGGCUUCCGUUACCGCCGUGAAGGUGUUUGCACUUUUGGCUUUAUUUCUUUAAAGGUUUGUUUGGUAUUCUAUUUGAAUCCAAUGUUUUAAAUUCAAAAACAAUUUUAAAAAACUGAACUCAAGACUAACUAAAAAAUAUAGUCUAUUCUCUAAAAACAUAAAAAGUAAGUUUUUAAAGUUUUUAAACUUAAACUCUCUCAUUUCUUUUUUUUUUCCCUCCUCCCAUCUCACUCCAAAUCUCUCUUUUUUCUUCUUUGUCUCUCCUUUAUUUUUAUACCUUUUUCGUCUCUCUCCUUUAAUCCGUUUUCUUCAUUUUCUCGAUUCUUUCUCUCACUCAUCUUCCUCUCUAUCUCGUCCAAUCCUCUCUCUUCUUUCUCUUUCCUUCAAUCAUCUCUUACUUUAUUUCAUCCUCUCUCCUCUUUCUCCCUCUCAUGUGACCCCCUCUUUUUAGAUUUCUUUGUUUAGUUUAAGUCGUAAGAUUUAAAAAAUUUAAAUCGUAAACCAAUCAAGUUUUUGAGUCCUAAAGAAAAUUGUUUUUAAUAAAUGUUCUUAGGAAAUAUUUUGAGAAAUGAUAAAAAAUUUCAAAUAAGAUACCAAACAGGCUCUAAAUUUUUUGUCCAAAUUGUGCACUUUCUUUGGUGUUUUAUUUUUAUAUAUAUUUUUUACUUUUUGAAGUGUUAAUUCACUGAAUUUAAUCUAGAAUUUAUAAGGAUUCUAUUAUUCAUGCACCUAUUUUUAUUGUCCGACAUCAUUCUUAAUUUUCAACCGUCAGAUUAAAUGAAUUAAAGAACAUCAAAUGAUAGAAAUUAGAAAAAGUGUGUGAGAGUUAAAAAUGAGAAUGUAGAUAGCUUCGUCCAUUUAUAAAGAAUCAAUCGUACAUACAACCAUUUUCUUUUCAUUAACAAAUUCAAGAUAAUAUUAUUUGUAUUAUCUGUGAGCGAAUAUAACUUUAUUUAUUAUAUUUUAUUGUCAUGACAUGAGUUGACUCAAGUAUCUUUUACUAUUAUUUAUUCAGUAUUUUGAGGUUAGUCAAGUUAGAUAGAGUAGUGUGUUUCUGCAUCCUUAUUUAAAUGCUUUUUUUGUAUGUUAGAUCAAUUUAAAAUAAGUUAUUUGUAAAUAAAAUUUGUAUUUAAUUUACAAGUUAAACUAUAAAAAGAAGAAUCUAAACUUAGGGGUAGAAAAACGAGCACAUUGGUCUUUAGCAAAUUUUGGCUACACCCCUGUCUAUUGGUUAAACCAAACAACUUGAAGAAAUAGGAAUUCGGAUCCUCUUUGCGAGGAUCCCAGAAAUCCGUGAAUCGUGUUCGUUCAUCAUACAUCGUGGGAUCAUAAAUUAUUUUAAAUAUUUUUAUUUAAAAUUAAGCACAAACAGUACUUUCUAAAAACUGACCACACAAUAUAUGAUAAACGGACACGAUUCAUAAAUCCCUAAGAUCCUCACAAAAAAGAAUCCAAAAAGGAUCUUGUUGGAAGAAAUAGACCAAUUCACAUGCUUAAACUGUUUCAGUUGAUUAAGAUAAUUCAGCAUGUGUUAUCUUAAUAAGAAACACUUAAAUGUGACAAUAAUGAAGUGUUGACUUCUAUUUUACCCUGGUUUUAUCAUUAUAACUCUUUUCUCUCUCUCUCUCUCCCCCCCCCCUCUUCUCUCUCUCCCUCCUAAUAUAUCUACGGUAGUUACCAUUUUAUUUUGAAAAUUAUUUUCAUGCAUUUUUUUUGUUUUGUUUUGGAUAGACCGAUAUUGUUAGUGGAUUAACUCAGAAAAAGAGAGAAGGUAGUCUAUGAGAAUUGAACUCACAUUAAGGUACAUAGACAUAAUUGCUUUCAGCAUAAUUGUUUUCCACCAUUACAGUAAAGUGUUAUUUGUUUUUUAUUUAUAUUUUCCCAACGUAUGCCUACAGACUUUGUGUGUGAAUUUUUUUCAUUUUUAUUUUUAAAAUGAGAAGGAGAGAGGGUGACAAAGAAAGUGGGAGCGGGAGUGGAAUUACAUUACUGGCCAUAAAAAAAAAUUUGUGAUAGAAGACUAAAUAGUCAAUCACCCUCUUUUGGUUGACAAAGGGAGUUUUAUUAUUAAUUAAUACUAGAGAGACCAAAAUUUUAAACUAAAUUUAUAAACCAAAUGAUCUGUCACUAUUUAGAAAUAAGCAUGUUAAUCAAUAUUUAAAUAACAAUCAUCAACAACCACAUCAUUUGAUUUGCAAAUUUAGUUUAAAAAAUUUGGUGUCUCAAACAUUAUCCUUUUCUUAAUAGUAGUUUAGAUUAAUAACUAUCAAUUACUAUUGUUCAUAUCAAAUAGAAAUGUAUCAUAUCCAUUCCCAUAAAGGUCAUAACCGUAAAAAUUAGUUAUAUUUAUAAUUACUAAAUUAACAAAGUCUCAUUAAUUAACGAGUCCAUUUCAUCAAUAAAUAUUUUUUUUUUCUUAUAAUUAAUGAAACAAAUGUUUGAUUACAUGAUGUCAAGCAACAUUAACAAAAAAUUAUGAAUGAACGUAAAAUAUUAUCAACCUAACCAUAAAACGUCCACAUCCAAAACCAAAAACUAUAAAAAAGGUCGUACCCAGUGCACAAGGCUCCCGCUUUACGCAAGGUCUGGGAGAGGUGAAUGUCGGCUAGCCUUACCCCCAUUUAUGGAGAGGCUGCUCCCAAGUCUCGAACCCGAGACCUACCGCUCAUGGGCAAAGGUACUUGCCAUCGCAAAACCAAAAACUAUGAUUAAAAAAAAAGUGUAUAACCAAACAAUAUUGAAAUAUAGGCAUAGCUUUUAGUUUUGGUUCUGAUUAAAUUCUUGAUUUGAUAGUAUUUUAUUUUUACUAUAAUUAGAGAAAGAACAAUAUAUUAGAUAACUGCAUCUUCUGUCCCGAAACACAAUCUUUAAACCCUAAAUCAAGAAUUUGGUAUUGGAAAACCAUGAACUCGCAACUUAAUACAAAGAAUGAUGUAAAAUCCUUGAUGUGCUAACAUUAAGUUUCGACAUUGUGAAAAAAAAAAUAAUAAUAAUAAUUUCUAGCCAUCUAGAACGAAAAACAAAGAAAAAUCUUGUCUUCGGCAGGCACCCGUGUUUGGUCCUUGUUUGUCUCCUCUCUCUCCUCUUCUUCUUACUCAUGUUUUUAUGCUAAAAUUGUCGCCAUCAAAGUAGUCGUUGGGAAUUAUCUGUUUUUUGGCUUACAGCCAUAGCCAACACAAAGGUUUUGGCUCCACUUGUCACCUUCGAUAUGGGUUUGAAGCGCAUGAAAGCUCUUACAGUGUGCCGGGUUUGGGUUUAGUCAGUAAGGUACUAUGGUUUUAGUUGGUGCGAACAUGUGGCUAUCUUCGGGAUACAUACUGGUAGUACUGUUUUGUCCUUUUAGUUUGAUUUUGUUUAAUAGUUUUCAGAAAACUCACUAGGAGUUUGAUGGUUUUGGUUUUCCUGCUUAUGAGAGUUCUUUCAUUUUAGUUUUUUCUUGGUGUGCCGGAUCUCUUUCAUAUCUAUGUGCGAAAUGGUGAAGAUGUUUGAUUUGCUGAGUUUACUUAAAUUGGUGUUCUGGAGCCAUAGUGGUGAUUAAGUGAUGUUCGAUCCAUGAUAUAUCAUAUUGUAUGUCUCAACAUGAUUUCAAUUUUUUUUUGUUCUCAUAUAUGUUGGAAAAAUUAGUUAUUAGUUUAUUUUUGUUUAUAGUUUUCUUGUGGGACAAGGAUGUUAGAAUUUUCUAUAUCCUUUAAGGAUUAGGAUUGUGCCUUAGUUUUCUAUAUCCUUUAAGGAUUAGGGUUUGCUUUAGUUUUCACUAUAUAUAAUAGUGCUUGUAUUAGUUAGUUUUAACAAGUCAGUCACGAUGUAGCCUCUUAGGGUUUUGUAGCCCUUUCGGCAUUCUCGUUUGUUUAAUAAUAUUCUUAUUAUUUUGUUAAUCUUGUUCGUUUCACACUUUGAUAUUCAACUUGGUAUCAGAGUAGGUUUGAUCAUUUGGGAUUUAAUCUGCUUCGGGUUGGUAUCUGUUUGCUUGUUUUCGUUGUCAUUCGUGUUUAGAUUGUUAGUUGGUAUUGAUUGUUUGCAAGAAGAAAAAAAUUGUUCGUUCGGUUUUUGUUUUUUGUCCCGUGACUCUACUUCUGCGCCUUUGAACGCCGCAACCUGAGUAUCCGUAAGUCUGUAUUGCUGCAAAGGAAAAAAAGAGGGAAAAGUAGAAUGGAAUGAAAAAAGAAGGAAAAAAAAGGGGAGUAAAAAAAAAAGGAAGAAACAAGAAAAAAUUGGUUGCUUGUUUGAGGCCCAUGCGGGAAAAAAGAGAAAAAAAGUUUGGUUGGAUUUUUUGUUUGUUUGUUUGGAAGUUGGCGUUGGCAUUGGUAUCGGCAUCAACAUCGGCAUUGGCAUUAGCAUCAGCAUUGGCAUUGGCAGUGGCAUUAGCACUGGAAUUUGGAGUCUUGCAUCCGCAUCUACUUGUUGGCAAACUCAUGACGUGUACCGCCAUGAGUUUGACGGGAGGUGUUGGAAAAAUUAGUUAUUAGCUUAUUUUUGUUUAUGGUUUUCUUGUGGGACAAGGAUGUUAGAAUUUUCUAUAUCCUUUAAGGAUUAGGAUUGUGCUUUACUUUUCUGUAUCUUUUAAGGAUUAGGGUUUGCUUUAGUUUUCACUAUAUAUAAUAGUGCUUGUAUUAGUUAGUUUUAACAAGUCAGUCACGAUGUAGCCUCUUAGGGUUUUGUAGCAUUUUCGGCAUUCUCGUUUGUUUAAUAAUAUUCUUAUUAUUUUGUUAAUCUUGUUCGUUGUGCACUCUGAUAUUCAACUAUAUAAUCACUGUGGGAUAUGAGAAAAGAAAAGAAAUGCAUCGUUUGAUUGAUUGAAUGAACUUUUAAAGAUUCCUUAUCGAUCGAGUUUCUUCAUUCCAAACACUUUACAUGUUUGUUAAGGGAUCGAAAUGAUCAUUAAUUUACUAUCUGUGGCUCUCAACUCAAAGAAGAAAGUGUUGUCUUACCAGUCCAUCUCCUCAUUUAGUAUUUAAAGGUGGCUGUGGCUAUCAGUCUUUGAGGGACCUCCCGGCCACUCCCCCCAAACACCCAUAAAUAUAUCAUCCCACCCAAUGAAAAAGGUGGCAUUGCUUUUUUGUAUAUAAUGUUCAACGUUGUGGUUCACAUUCAGUAUUUUUUUCAACUUUUGUUAUGGUUCAUGUAACAAAAGAUAAGGUUCUCUCUCGUAUCUCUGUUGCAUUUUAAAAUAGAUAGGGUGACGUAGAGCACAUAUAGUUGUUGAGCUUCACACGUGGACUAAUCUGUUCUGAUACUAUAAAGAAAGUUAUGAUUCCACUAUAAAACUAAUUGACAAUAUAGAGAAUAACCCAACUUUAUUUAUAAGUCAUUGCAUAGUUUGGUCCCUCACUGAUGUGGGACUUUAUCCUCACAUUCUCACAAAACUAAUGACUAAUUAAGCCCACUUUAGUGAGGCUUGUUUUAGUUAUUCUCACGUGGUCGGUAUGUGUAUAAUUCACAUAUCGCUCAUCUUGUGAUUGAUCAUGUGAAGCAAUACAAUGUUGCUAUCAUAGAUAGCUUUAGUGGGCAAAAUAAAUAAUACAUGUACAUUAUCGUUGAGGCGUUCCAUACCAAUAAUACAACGACAUGUAUAAAUUUUACACUACAUAACGUCGUAUCAUUGACACAAAACAUCAUAAUAAUUCUGUAUAGAUGCCAUCUAAGUCCAUCUUCCUAAUGGGAUCACAUUUGAUAAAACAAAUAUUGUAUAAUUGCAUUUGUCCCACAUGUGCAAUAAUGUGCGAUAAUGGCUUCAUGGUCCAUAAACUGCAAAAAGCAAAUGGUGACAAGCAAACACAGUUUCCUCAUACGCUCACCACAUAAAACUAUAUUUCAAUUUUAUAAUUAUUAAGUACAGAAUCAUCUACAUUUUUAUUUAUUUAGGGUGCAAAGUUUUGAAACUCGCAUCCAAUUAUCGCACAGCUCAUCUACACCUUUUUUAUUUUAUUUUAUGUUAUUUGUUUUUCCCUUGGCUUUUUCUCAGCUUCUUUUUUGGAGUCAAAUUCAAAGACGCAAGCAAAUAGAAUACAUGCAAUAAUGUAAAGUUCAUAUUAUGUACAUCCCACCUAGUCCGAGAAGGACUUACGUGGUACAAGUUUAUCGAGAAAAGUAAAUUCUAAUAUUACUACUCUUUUCAAUAUGAAUAAAGUAGAAUGUACACUAUUACAUCGAGUCGCUUGACAAGAUAGUUGUGGCUUGUGGUGAAGCACAGAGGUGCAAGGAGGUACGACCACACCUUUAGUUGUCGAAUCAAAUUACUCAAAGAUGUGCGUUUAUGGGCUCAUGCUAAAGUGUUUCAAUCAAUUCCUGUCAAUAUAAGCGAAUACAAUAAAAAAUAUUUUAUUGUAUAGAUGUAUAGAUUUUUGAGAGAGAUACAUACUUAUAAUCGCUCUUAAGACCCACAUUUUCGCCCUUCUGUUGGGCUAUUGCUGCUUUACUGCGGCACUGCUACAUUUUGCCACCCUGCUGCGGCGCUGCUGCGUGCUGCCCUUUUUUAACACCAAAUCAAAACGACGUGGUUUUGAACCUUGGAAGCAAAAUGAAACUGCAAUUCCCUGCUCCCAUCACCAUUCUAUCUCCUACCAAUUGUUCAAUUCAGUUUCCUCAUUUGUCAUUUUUGAUUGAUUAGUUGGAAACAUAUGUUUUCACACACCCAUGAAUCUUUUAAAGGAAUUAGUGAAGAUCGGGAGGCAUAGAAGCUACAAAUUAGUGUAUAAGCUUUUUACAUUUAAUUUGAUGUUACCGGUUGCAACCACUUCUGUGGAGUAAGCAUUUUCUGCUAUAAAUACUAUCAAAACACCACUAUGUAACAAAAUAGGAGAUCAAUGGUUGAGUGAUAGUUUGACUGUUUACAUCGAGAGAGAUGUUUAUGCGUUUAUUGAUAAUGAGCCUAUUAUGCAACAUUUUUUAUAACAUGAAAUCUUCACAUCAACAAUUAUAACUAGGGGUGGAUUUUUUUGCCAAAUUGCCGUACCAACCGAAUUGCCAACCGUGCCAUACCGAUUUUGUGCCAAAUUUUUUGUACCAAUUGGUAAUGGUACGGUAUUGUACCGUACCGAAAUUUCAUGGUACAGUAUUGGUAAUGGAUACCAUUACCACGGUAUUACCGUACCAUACCAAAAAUACAAUAUAAUUUAUAAUUUAUAAAUUAUAUAAUAGAUAAUUAUAUAACACAUAUUUAUAAUAUUCCAAUAAUUUGAAAAUAAAACCCUACUUAUAUUAGUAUUGUUGUUGGUGACUUUGAUAUCUUAAAAUUGUGGAAAUCAAACACAAAAGAGUUCCUAAUUCUUUCACAAAAUAGCCAAAAUAUCUUUGUAACCCCCACUUCUACUGUUGCUAGUGAAAAUGCAUUUAGCCUAGGGAGAAAGGUUGUGGACCCUUUUAGGGUAUCCUUGACUCCUAAAAUAAUGGAGGCACUAGUGCGUACUAGUGGUUGACUUAGGGCAGAUGAAGUAAACUUCUACAAGGAACCAACGAAAUAUAUGCUUCAAUUUUACAAGGAAAUGAAAGAAGAAAAAACAAGAAAGAUAUGCUUUAAUUUUUUUAGUAAAUUUGUUAUUAAAUGGUUUUCAACUUUAAUUUUUCUUGCUACUAAUUAAUAUGCUUUCUUUGUUUGUAAUGUAUGCUUGACACAAACUCAAUCUUCUACAAGUUCAAUGCCUCUUCCAAAAGUUUCGACAUCUCAAGCUUGAAUAACUGAUCAAUGAAUUCUCCUUUUUGAAGUUUACUUCCAAUUUUCAUUUGGUUUGAAACUUUAAUUUCUAUUUGGAUUGUUAACUUCUAUUUGUUUUGGUUCGUAACUUCUAUUUGGAUUGUAAGCUUAAUUUUCAUAUUGAAUCUUGAUGCAUCAUUUGAAUUAUUAUGUGUGUGAAUUGUGAAUAAUGAAUAAUAGAUUAAUUUAAUCUACAAUGUAUGAGAUAAAGGUACAAAAAAAAAAGUUUUGCCCUUGAAUUGGGUUAAAAAAACAAAAACAGAUUUUGUCCCAAACAAAAUGGCAAUUACCAUUGCCAUACCAUGCCAACCGAACUUUUGGCAAUACCGAACUUCGGUAUACCGAAAGUUUGGUACGGUAAUGGUAAUAGAUUUUACUAAACCGAAAGUUUGGUACGGUAAUUGGUACAAGGGUUUUGGUACGGUAACCGUACCGAACCCACCCCUAAUUAUAACUUGUUUGUAUUGAUAAAUUAUGAACGACACUAAUAUUGUCUACUAUCUAAAAAGAUUUGGUUGUCUACAUUUUUCUUAAACCUUGCACCCUUUAAAAUUCCACUCCUUCCCCAAUGGUAGUAACUAGUUGGUUAACACAAUACAAUCGAUCAACCGACCACUCAUGUCCCCAAAAUUUGUCUUAUGUUAUUUGUAUAAUUAAAUGUCCUUGUACCAAACAUUUUUGUGUGUUAUAACUUAUCAAAUUAUGAAUCAAAACUUAGAUUUAAACUAACGGGUUUAAGAAUAAAUUGGUAUCGAAAUCAUGAUUCAAUUGAUUUGAAUUUCAAUAUCUCAAACAUAAGUAAUUCAGGAUUUUCACGUCGUCCUGAGUAGAACUUAUGAUUCACAAAACGUAACAUGGAUAUUGAUAAGAGCACAUAGUUUUACAUAAUCUAUGAGUACGAGCAGAUUCCUGAAAAAUAUGGAAAAGUAUAAGUGCAGUAUCAUCAGGACAAACACUUUCUAGGCAGGCACUGACUCAAAAUUUUAAUGGGAACGCACGACACAGACCAUAAAAACCCUAGAAAAAUUGUUGAGGGCACAAACAAAGGGGAAUGAAACUGGAUCUUCAAUAAUUUCCACUUUAAAUUUAAAAAUUAAAUGGUUUCUUUUAUUUAAUCAUGAAAAUGCAGAAUAAUGGCCACAUAUGUCUGCUUAAAAGCCAGCCUCAGAUAUCACCUACUGUAUAAUUCAGGUGCCUUUUGUUUGUGAGAGUACAGUGGAAGUGUGCGUGGAACACUGGAACUUACCUGGCCAGAGUCGAGUUCCUUCUUCCAGGCACGUAUGAGGAAAAUGUGGAACAUGGGACCGCCUGGCUCUUUUAGUAAUUAAUUUAAUUAUUUUUAAAAGCUAGUAUGUUCUUACCACUUAGUAUUACGACUUAGUGUUAUUCUUCUUUACUUGUAGGUAAGAAUUCUUAGGUUCGAUUCUCGCCAAAGACAAAUUUGAACCAUAUUAUUACUAGCCCAUUGUAAAGAUUAGCCUACUCUCCUACUCUUUUAGUGUAGAUAACAUCGUUUGUUUAAAAAAAAAAAAAAAAAAAAAACCAGUAUGUUUUUUUCACUUGUAUGUUUGAAUCUCUGAGUUUUCAAAUUUUGACUUAGAUUUGAAAUCAAUACAAAUCAAGUCAAAUCUUUAUAAAAUGAUAUGAUUUUGAAACUAUAUCUGUUUAUAUCAUACUUAGGGCCUCUGUAUUUAGACCUCGUAUAAAUACUCGGGGACUUAAAUGUAAUUAUGUAAUAAAGGAAGAGGCAAAUAUGUAAUAAGUGAGGAGCCCUUAUUCUAUAAAAUGACUCAUCACCUUCACAAUUAGAAGAUGACAAUUCCUAGGCCCUCUCACCCCCUCUCAAAGCCUCACUCUCAUUACAGAGGCUCUCAUACUCUCUCCCUCACAAUCCUCUCAGAAAUACAAUAUCAGUGUGGACUUAGCCCAAACAUUGGAGUGAAUCACGAUACAUCUUGUGUUAUUUAUAUUUUUUGCAGAUUCACGGUCUGAUUUACGUUGUUCCAAGACCUCCGAUUUUGUGCAUCAACAUUAUCAUUUCGUCUUUUCAACAUGAUUAGCAAACAAGUUUUUAGAUUUAGUUUCUAAAAUAAACAAAGAAGAAAAAACUUAAUACAACAGCAUAAUUAUCAAACGAUUUCUUAACAAGAGUAAGAAGAAAGUUGAAGUGGAAUAUCAUGAUGUUUGUUGGUAGAAACCUUGUGAACAUCUCCACCAGUUGGUGGAGGGCAAUGGCAAUUGAAGAGCAACGACAAUAAUGUUGCCUCACUAUUCAUUCUAAACAGUAAAUAUCAUUGUGCAAGUCCAUUCGUUUGGAAAGAGGAAGGACAAGGGUAAUUACUAUUCACAAACAAUUUUUUUAUUUUUUUAAUGUUUUCUUCGUCUUAUCUCCACGUAUCAUUAUUGCCGUAAUUUUAUAGUGUAAUUUGUGUGUUGAACUUUGUAAGAUUUUUAAAGUGUGUACAGUAUCUGUAAGUUUUUAAAUUUUUUGGUAAUUUUUAUGAUUUUUUUAAUUUUUUAUAGUUGAUUAAUCCUAAUUGUUGAACUGAACAAUUAUUUUUUAAAUCAAAGGCUCACAGAGAGCCACAUGGGUGGGGAAGUGGAAGAGAUGGUGAACAUUUCACGGAGUGUAACAGUUGACAACAACUCUGGGCUUCAAACAGGGCGCAAGCUCUUGCAGCAGCCUUCAACCCAAUUACCUCUCAUUUUGUAGACUAGUGAAGGAGAUUUUUGGCGUGAAAGGCAACUCAACCCAAUUGUUCUUGCAAUUGGAUGACUGGUGGAGAUGUGGAGCAUUUAAGUUGCAACGUCAGCAACGUCGGCAGCCUAUAUGUGUCGUCGGCAACGACAAUUCCCAUGAUAUUCCGACACGUGUUGCAGAUCCAAACGAAAAAAAUUAAUAAAAAAAAACUUAGGAAAAAGAAAUAUUUAUAAAAUAAUUCUGUGUAAUAAUUAAAAAACCACAAUAAUUGAGGCAACUCGUAUAGGCUAUAAUAAAAUGUUGAAAACGAGGUGUGAAGAUUUCUGGAGGGAGGAUUGGUGGCAUUUGGGAUCCUACUCGACUCCACACAUACAAAAAGUGCAGAGCUUUUUACAUGGAAAAGCAACAUCUUACUAACAAGUUGAAACCAUCUUUUGGUUUUUGAGAGUUGGUUGGAAUCAAAUCUUUAUAGGUAUCAUCAUCCAUGAUGUAUUGGAUUAGAAAACAAGAGCUUAGUUGGACUAAUAGCAAUCUGCCAACUUGUCAUCUUAAUUUUAUACUUAAUUUUGUUGUUUACAUCACUAUGUAGCACGAUUAGUGGUAUUUAUCCUUAUUCGAUGGUAGGAUGACUUAUGUUGACUCUCGUGAACGAUAAGUUCAAACUAAAUUAUUAUGAUGAUUGAUAUAUUAUGUGUCCAAAUCCCCCACUAUUUAGCAUGAAUAUAUUAUUAUUAUUAAAAAAAUAAAGAUGAAACACGACAGUUUAUUAUAUUUAUUUGUUUGUUAUUUUUACUUUUUGAACUGCUUUCGGAAGAAUUACAUGUGAGGGAACAAGAGGCGCUUUUCAAACAAAGAAUAAGCAACGUAAGUUGGUAAUUAUGCUGAUGCGACUACAAAUUGGUUCGAUACAACUCGAGUUAUGAAUAUAUUUUAGGUCAAAGUAGGAGGCUAGAAAGGUGUUGUUACAUGAAGAGAAUGUAAGAGAGCAAUAUUAGCAGUGGCUUGACCUUUAGUAUGCCCUAUGCCUAGCCUAGGGUUGAUUCAAUUUCAACUAUAUGUUUUGGGAAUUAUUAUUAGCAUUCCAAAAAUCUCAUUUAGCACUUCAAACUUUCUAUAAUUAGGAUAAAAAAUAUAAUUGUGAAGAAUUUAGAAUAAGAUUUUUAAAGUACUAAUAACGGUUCCUUAUAUUUUACUCAUCACAAAUUAUAGUAUCUACCAGAUAGUGUGGACCCCAAGGAAUAUGCAAUUAGAGGAAGAAUGACCCUUGAUCAAAAGGAAUCUCCAUGAUCAAAAGGAAUCUCUAUGGGCCCAUCUAACAUAAUAGAAAAUAUAAACAUCGUCGGAAUUGAUCAACCGACCUAGCUCUUGGAUUGGUGGAUGGGACUGUAUGUGUUCGGAUUGACCAAACCUCACACCCGGGCUUAGGACGCGGUCGGGUUAGGGUAAUUCGUCAAUGAAAGUUUUAAUGAACUUUUCUUAGUACUGUUUACUUUUAACGUUAAUAAUAUUUUUAUUUUAAAAAAUCACUCAUGGUAUUAUUCACUUAUAAUACAUUUUUGUCAUUUUAGUUAAAACUCAAAAUUUUCAAAUCAUUUUUAUUAUUUUUCCUUUCGUCAAUCAAGUUCAACUUAUACUCCUCUUAACAAAGAAAAUUUCAAGUGUAACAUGUGUAUACAAUCAUUUACUUAUCUUUUUAGGUGUAACAUGUGUAUACAAUCAUCUACCUAUCUUUCUCAUUACUGAAAUUUUGUGAUCAGUGGAGUAGCAAGAAUUGUGGUCCAAGAGGGGCCCAACACGCAUUUCUUAUUUUUGAAAAUUUAAGCAUAUCUUGCUUUCGACCAACUUUCGUUUAGGUUUUGAAUGAUGAGUAUCCACAAAUCUAGGACCUAAACUUGCGAUAUUACGCCCACAAAAUAAGUGAGGGAGUCAUAAAUUUUGGAAUGUGAUUUCCAUACUUCUUUUUCUCCUUCUACACUAUAUUUAUUCUGAUUGUUAAAUUGAAUAAAUCAGAACAGUAUUUACGAACAUUAAUACAUAAAAAUGUGUAGAAUGAGAAAAAAAAAUGUGUAAGAAUCAUUUUCCUAAAUAAUAUAAUAAAAAAAUAAUUGUGUAAAACCAUAGCGAAAGCUUCAAGGAAUAACCCCCAGUCUCUCAACCUCUUCCUCUUUCUCGCUAUCUACUCAAAGCUCCAUGGCUGCCAGCCUCCUGAACUCCACCAGAGCUCUGAGCCUACCAAAAAACUCAAAGCUAGCAUGGUAUUAAUUUUUUGAACCUGAGAAGAAAAAAAAAGAAAAAAAAAAGGUCAAGAUAGGCCUGAAACCAUUGUAGUCCUUUCAUAGCUCCGCCAAUGCGUGUAAUGAGAGAAAUAUAUACAUAAUUAUAUACAAGAAAUGAUAGAGAACUUUUUCUACUUUCCAACCUAUCAUCCAUGCAUAACUCAUAUCUCCAAUCCAUCCGCGUUGCACCCCUAUUUCUAAACUGCACUUCUAUAAGAGUUUGAACUGGAUCAAGUCACUAUAUGUUUGUGAUGGGCCAAGUUAACUUGAUUGGGCUUAUUCACAAUAAGACCCAUAUGCUAUUCAGCAACAACGUUGACUUAAUUUCCGGUGUUUGGACUGCUAACUUGAUAUUUGAUUAAAUUCUAUUAUCCAUCCUUACAUAAAUUAAUCCUAUUAUCUUAUUCCUAAAUAUAGCUUGUAACAAAGUCGUUUUCUUUUUAUCCGUAACACCUACGUUUAAACAAAGCAUAUAUUAAAGCCAUUAUUUUGUCACAAUGUCACAAGUGAAAAUCCCAAACCUCUCCGGAUCACCUAUAAAACGAAGCCAAUUUUAACAUGCCCAAAUCCUCCCCUCCAUCUCCCACCAUCUCUGCCUCUCAUCUACCCACCAUGGACGACGGCGGACAGCACCAUGGAUUUAAACUCACCCCUGAACUCAUCGGCCUAAUGGGCGUUGCAGCCGGAGCCAUAAUCGUCGCGACGUACCAAUGCCUUGUCAACCACAUUUGUUGCAGCCAAAUGCGCGUAGAAUACAACAUACAACAAGAACAAACACAAAAUGAACAUGAACAGCGUCUUCAAGGGCAUCACGUCAACCAAAACCUCAGAUCAACAACUGCACACAGCGUUAACUCGCCCUCCUACGAUCAGUUGAUCCCGGUUUUCAAGUACACCAAGGAAUGCAGAGAAGGAACCUGCGCCGUUUGUUUGUGUGAAUUUACCGACGGCGAGAACAUCCGUUUACUGCCGGAAUGUGUGCACUUGUUUCAUGUGGGGUGCAUUGACAUGUGGCUCAGCUCACACUCUAACUGCCCUCUUUGUCGAACUGAUAUUAUUCCUAGACGAGCACCGCAGCACGUUGUUCCUCCUCCGCAAGAUGUUGUGACUCCUCCUCCGCAGAAUACUUUGCCUUCACCACAACAUGUUGUGAUAUUGAUGCCAAAUUUCGGCGCGGUUCAUAAUAUGAGUACUUGAUCUUUGGAGUCAUGGAUUGAUGGCUUUUAUUUUUCAGUUGAUUAAGCUACUUUUGUUUAAAAGAGUGUAUCUAGUUAAGACUUGCUCAAAUUAGCGGGUGUUUUGCCGAAUGAAAAAAAAUGGAGGAGGUUUCAUGUAAGUGUGAUGAUUUUGCCGCUCCAAUUUAGCUUCUCACGCGCUCUAACUUACUUAGCUUAUAAUUAGGGGUGUGAUAUCCACACAUCCUUCUAAUUUUUAGUCGUCGGAUCAAAUGAAUUGAAGAAGAUCAACGGACAAAAAUUAACAAAUGAUGAGUAAGAAGUAAAAAAUAGUGUGUGGAUAGCUCGCCCCUAUAAUUAUUAUACACUUGUAAUGGCGAAACCUAAAAAUGAGAGUCAUUUUCUUUUCUCAUUGCGAUGGACUAUAGGAUUGGUGUAAAAGUCGUCCUACCAGUUGCGCGCCGAAUUAUAGUUGUCUCUCAAUCAAUCCAACCUGCCAAACUUGCACAGCGAUAGGCAUCACCAGUUGUUCUAUAGCUAGUCAACUUCAAGUUUUGUUUCUUGUUCAUCCGGGCCAUACUUAGUGGAACUGUGGCCCAAUUUUGUAUCUGGUUUAAUCCAGUCUGUUCUAUAUCCAUCACAGAGGACCCAAGUUCAGACAAGAUCCCUUAUUAAUAGGACCAAGACAAAGCUGGUGUAAAAAAAUACCGACUUCAAGGUUUGUGAUGUUGUUGAGUUUAUACUUUGGUUUACAGCUUGCUUUUGAUAAGGGUGAUACUAAUCUUAGUAUUGUUAUUGUUAUGUUGUUGAAGCAAACGUUGUUAAUUUCCAUCCUUUGGACACAAUCAUGCAUAGCUAUAUAUUAAUGAUGAGACAAUUGAGGAGAUGUGAGUUGAAACACAUUUACAGAGAGAAGAAUACUGUGACGGAUCAUUUGGCUAACACAUUUACAAAGAGAAGAAUAUUGUGACCGAUCAUUUGGCUAACUAAGGUUUUAAUAUGGAUAUUAGCGUUCUUGUAUUUGAUGAGUCUCUUGUUUGGAUUAGACCAGCUCUCAUAGAUGGUGAUGCUAGAGUCCCUCAGGCUCAGUUUGUGUAUGCUGAUAUUUUGAAGUUUGCUCUUUGAGUUGUAUUCCUCAUUCUUCCUAAAGAAAAUAUAUAUCAACUUACUCAAUAUCUAUCCAUAAAUUUUUCAGUGCGGUCAUAACUCUGCUAUGAAUGCUUCUAAUUUAUCCAUACUAGCCCGUAUGACAUAUCAUUGCAUUUAAAUUAUUUUUGACACCCCAAAAUAGUGAUAACACAUGCCUCGGUUACUGUUUUUGAAAUGAGAGGAAUGCAUGACUACGAAUUUGGGUUGCCAACAAUAGUUCUCUACCACAUAAAUAUAGCAAAAUUAUAUGUAUCUUGAAUGUGAGAUGUUCAUUUCCAACUAUUAGAAAGUACACUAUCUAAUAUAAAUUGUUGCGUAAUAAAUAAUUAGUGACGCGAGAGAAUGACUAACAAAUCAUAUCUCACCAUGAUCAUACUAACUGUGGUAAAAUAUGGAUCCAUCAUGAAAUUACUUGAAACUUGUCCUCAAACCCCACACACGUUCCCAUUAAUAAUUGCUCUUCACAAACACAAAGAAAACUCCACCGCAACACCUCAAACAAACAAAAACACAAAUAGAACUCCAAAACCUCACCCUCUCUCUCCCUCUCUCUCCCUCUCUCCCUCUCUCUCUCGCUCUCAUCAUGGACAGCGCACCCACCGUUCUAAACAAACCACCGCCACCUUUCCUCAUGGACAGCGCACCCACCGUUCUAAACAAACCACCGCCACCUUUCCUCAUGGACAGCGUACCCACCUUUCUAAACAAACCACCGCCACCUUUCCCAGCACCGCCUCGGAGCGUCGACUUCUCCGCCCUUGAAUUUAUCCUCGGCCUCAUCGCGGUUAUCACCAUCCCUGCUCUCGUCUACGCCUUCUUCUUCGCCAUCAAGUUCCCUCCAAACCCUUUUCGCCGGCGACCCCACCGG
rnacentral:lncRNA from 1 species